UGGAUUGCUGUCUCAGGUUCUGAGUUUCAGACCUCAGAGGUGCAGGCAGAUGAAACUGUCACUCUGCAGUGCAACAAGAUUUACACAUAUGACGUUACGACUUUCUGGUUCAGACUGGUCAACGGAACCGCAGUCAACUCUAUCGCUGUUAUGGCUGCUACAAGUGUUAAGUCCAAUGCUGAAUUGCAAACUGGAAAAUUUGAAAUGACACAAACAACCUCUGAUGUCUUUCUCAAAAUCAAACAAGUGGAUGUGUCUGACUCUGGGCUGUAUUUCUGUGGAUUUCUCUCACAGGGACGUCUAAAUUUAAGCGUCAUGCAAUUAAAGGUUGGAGGCACUGAUGAGCCUCAGGAUGACAUGGACUGCAUCUCUAAACAGGCUCACAAAGUAGCAAAGCUGACGAGUGUCACCCUGGGUGUUCUGUCUGUUUUCCUCUUAAUGCUCAUCACUGGUCUGGCUGUUCAAAACAUGAAACUUCAGACGGGUACUUUUUACAGCUACAAAAUCGCUCUUAUAAUCUUUACUAUUCACAAAUGUAUAAUUGGUUUAUGAAAUAGAAUAACACUAAGUUCUUUUUUGUGGAUCAGCAAAUAAAAAAGAACAGAAUCCGGACCAAAGCACAAAUCAUGGAUCUGAUGAGGUGAACUAUGCUGCAGUGACAGUUCGACCAAAACCAAAAAGAAGAGAGAUCGAGCCAAAUGUGAUCUAUGCUUCCACCAGAUAGAAUCAGCAGGCGACUUGAACUGACUGAUGAUGUUAUCAUGACUUAUUGGGGAAAUGAAAAACUCUUGUUAAAAAAAAACUAACUUUGCUGUGGUGAACCAAUGCUAACUGAAUUUUCGUAUGUGUUUUCCUGUUAAUUCUAAGUACUUACUUCGUCCAUCAAAGUCUAUUUAGCCAAACAAACAUGUAACGUGAUUGUUAAUGAAAUGGAAAUCUGCACACGACCUGAACAGAAACAGUCGAUACUUGCUGACUACAAAUGUUCUUGAAAAAUAAAGACUACAUUCAUGUGGAACAUGGAUAUAACUGUGACUGGAUACUGUAUGAAUUAUCUUAUGCUAUAAUAUGUCUUGAUCAAAAGACAAAACAACAGAAAAUUAUACUUCCUCUUCCAGCAAAAGACCUUCUGUUUUUUAUUACUGCUGACUACACAUGUGAAACAUUUCCUCUGGUUGAAACCUUGCUAUCUAUGCAGAUAAAAAUCAGCUGAGUUUUCUCAGCUUGUCCUUGUUGGUGGUGACUUAGCAAAAGUUCUGGCAGCUUCCAUUUUUGUUUACCGAAAAUUAGCCUCAA